rnacentral:rRNA from 1 species
AACGAACGCUGGCGGCAGGCUUAACACAUGCAAGUCGAGCGAGACCUUCGGGUCUAGCGGCGGACGGGUGGGUAACGCGUGGGAACGUGCCCUUCUCUACGGAAUAGCCCCGGGAAACUGGGAGUAAUACCGUAUACGCCCUUUGGGGGAAAGAUUUAUGGGAGAAGGAUCGGCCCGGGUUGGAUUAGGUGGUUGGUGGUGUAAUGGCCCACCAAGCCGACGAUCCAUAGCUGGUUGGAGAGGAUGAUCAGCCACACUGGGACUGAGACACGGCCCAGACUCCUACGGGAGGGAGCAGUGGGGAAUCUUAGACGCGGGGGGCAACCCUGAUCUAGCCAUGCCGCGUGAGUGGUGAAGGCCUUAGGGUUGUAAAGCCCUUUGAGCUGGGAAGAGAAUGACGGUACCAGGAGAAGAAGCCCCGGCUAACUACGUG